AAAACGACUCUCGGCAACGGAUAUCUAGGCUCUCGCAUCGAUGAAGAACGUAGCGAAAUGCGAUACUUGGUGUGAAUUGCAGAAUCCCGCGAAUCAUCGAGUUUUUGAACGCAAGUUGCGCCCGAAGACUUUCGGCCGAGGGCACGUCUGCCUAGGUGUCACGC
rnacentral:rRNA from 1 species